ACAACACACAAGGUCCCUCGGAUGUCCUGGCGUUCCCAUCAGGUCCCAAAAAUAAGAAUGUCCCGCUGAAACUUUGUGGGGAUAUCCCACGCAUGUUUCAGCAGGACAAGACUCGGAAUAUCCCAUAGGCGUCUAGCCGGGAUAAUUUUUGUCCUUCGUCAUUUGGCUUCCUGAGCAGGUGAAAUUUCGGGACUGUGGUUACCAAUAAAAUCGCAUAAGUGUGUAUCUGAUCGCCUGAAAAUACGCUGUGGCUGAAGCAGAAAAAAACGACAUAUAUCUGCAGUUAGACACGCUUACUGAAAAAGUCCACUGUAUGUAAAGGGCAGUCCCAAAACGUUGUACUGUACUUUAUUACCCUUUGAUUAUACCACUCAAUAUAUAAUAUAUAUAUAUAUAUAUCCCCCUUUGAAUAUACUGCACAACAACUUGCCCCAUCAAUGUGAAUGACCCCAUGACGAGCGCUGCCUGGCAGUGCGGCCAGGACCUACGCGCUAAGCGCGGUCUAGAUCCUGGUUUAUUAAAUUUUUUACAUCCAAUAUUUUCUGUAUCCCUUGCAAUGUGGCCUGCGACAUAAAUUUGAAACGGCGCCUGAAUCGCUACUCUUUACAAUGAAAACGCAACUCCGCGACCUCAUUUCUUCGACGAUUUGCAAAUCAACACGAUGUGUGAGGAUGUGUGUGCAUCUGCGUGGUCACAAAGUGGUGUUCACUUGUGUCGCUGACGCCCCUUCCACCACUAAAAAACAAACGCAUAUGACGCGCGCACACGCAUCCGAAUCCAGCAAUACACUGCCGCGCUCGCUGGCUCCGUCAUAAAAGAAUUAGAAAGUCAGCAACCAUGGUCGGUACCCCGAGCGGUCAACGCAGGGCACAAAAGGCCGAUCCAAUCCAAUCCGUUAUUUGUUUUGUGGCGUUCGUUGCAGUGUCCGUUUAUGGUGUUCACGCCUGUACGUGUGUCCGAGUUUCACAAUGGGUGAGUGAAAAGUGUGAAGGUAAUAAGUCAGGAAGGAUUGUUUACGAAUGUUUGUAUUUGUGUUGUGAAAUAGAAAGCUGAGCUGUUUCGUUUGUGCUUAUGUGCAUGCGUUCGUGUAGUGCAGAUCCCAUUGUGUUUUGUGUUGACAAAAUUACAAGGUCGAUGGCAUUUUCCACUGACGUGUGAAAAGCAGCUGUUCAACGCGCUCCUUCGUCAGCUUGCUCGACAUCUCAGACUUUGCUAGCACUACUGCGCGAACAGUGAGCACGGUGAAGAUUCUGAUACAUAACAUCAAGUUGCGAGUGCGCUCUCAAAUAUUUCAGAACAUACCCAGGACGCACAGGACAGAGUAAUUAUAGCUUUUUCGCUGCUUCUAACAGUGUGAGCAAGAAACAUAGCAUAUUCAGGUAUGACUUGUUUAGUACUGUGUCUCAAAAGGAAAUGCUAGCCUGACUAAGGCUGACAAAUUUCAACAUUGUGUGUUCCUCAAAUGAAGCACAACGUUUUCGACAUCAAGGUAUUUAACUGUACUUACAAUGCCAUUAAUUUCGUUAUCUCCCAACGCUGAUGUUACCGAGGUUUGCUUCUAGGGUGGUUCGGGCAUAGGCUGUUCUAUUGCCUAAAGAAGUGACUAGUCUGUUCAGCUUCUCUAUACUUAUUUGUUGUCGAUAAAAGUGUGAGAUGGCUGAUGGGUUUCUUCACUCUCACCGUAGAAUUUUCUACUGAAGAACCGAAGCUUUUAACAUUUGAGGAUACCAGAAAGGCAAGCUGGUGUUCCAACUUCGUGAUAAUAGACUUGAGCGAGGAGCAAAUUUGACUUUGAACAUUUCUCCAACAGAAGUUCAUUUCGUCGGGCAGCGGCGACUGGUGCGAAAAAAAUUGCUCUUCGAGGUCCUAUAUUUACGUGAAAAGAUGAGUGACGUGGCCUGCUAAUCAGUUUCACCUGAGAAACUGAGAAUUUUACGAGCGCUCAUGAAGGACAAAGUAGCAACCUCCUCCAGCUCGCAGUGAGGCAAGGGGAAGAUGAAGUUCUGUGACCUGUUAUGCUGUGAUGUAAGUUCUGGCACUGUAAUGUCAAACCGGCUGUUCAAGGACGUGACCCGCAGUAAAGCAGAGCAUCACAUAAAGUCCUGGCUGAGGCAUGCCAAAGAACCUCAUGACAGGACGUCAUGGUGCUGAACAAUUUGUUCUCAGUAAUAAGCAUUUUCCCACACCUUCGCAUUCAUGCUGCAGUAAGUAUUAAAAUACUUGUGUUUGCAUAUUCUGUAUAUCUGACUUGUCACCUGUGUUUCUGAAGCCAAGUCACGUUUUUAAUUAUAGGCACUGUAAUGUCAAACCGGCUGUUCAAGGACGUGACCCGCAGUAAAGCAGAGCAUCACAUAAAGUCCUGGCUGAGGCACGCCAAAGAACCUCAUGACAGGACGUCGACAAAAGAUAAGGGCUCGGAGUACUACACAGAACAGCAGCGACAGCUGGACCGAUCCGUGCGAAACUAUUCAGGCCUAGCUUUGACUGUAGAUUUCACGAGAGAAAAAAAAGUGCGUUCUCUGAGAGUGUGGUAGAUAAACAUUUAUUUCCUCUGUAUAUUUGGCUGCAGACUGAGGGCUAUGCAGGUGUUGCCUUCAAAAUGAAAAGUGUUAUGCCAUUGUCAUCUCCAUGCAAUACACAUCGACAAUAUCAAUGGGUUUUCCAUGUAUAAUGUUGGACAAAAAAAUUCAGCUGAUGAAACAGAAGGUGGGAUCAUGUUAAAAUUUAUUCUGUGUAGAGAGCUCGGGAGCAGACCAUAAUUGUGACAAAUGCAGUCAAACUCCUUUACAGAUAACACCUUUUUAACGAAAAUACCACUACAGCAAAUUUUUUUGCGGUCCCGCUGGAGCCCUAUAGGUCCAAUAAUGGACAUCCUUUUUAACUAGAAUACCUUUACUGCAAAUUUGUUUUGCUGUCCCCUGGGUUUCGUUGUAAAGGAGUUUGACUGUAGUUACUAACUUUUUGGUGAGGGCAAUAAGCUUGAUUGUGAAUAAUAAUAAUACAUAAAGACAACUCGAAUAUUGUUCGAGUUGUCUUUGUGUUCGUGUGUAUUGGAAGGUGACAACAAUAGAGCCAGAUAUAACCUUGCAACGUAGAAGGCCGCACAUACAGGAUGUUUCACCUAUCGUGAUAAAUUCUAACCGUAGACGUACACGCCGUAUAGGAUUGUGGGAUUUUUUGCAAUUACCCUCUGGCAACUUUUGCCGACACUUUGGCUUUGCUGACGGGAUUUUUAAUUGACGGAAAUUUAUGUUUUUAAUCAAAUUAGGAAAAUUGCCAAGCACUGCACCCCUAUUUUUUAACAGAAAUAUGAAGUGCCCUCCGGAUGACCGCAGACCCAGCAAAACCUAUGCGCAGUAUUAGCAGAAACGGUCGAAAAAAGUAAAAGUGAUGCUUCAGUCCUGCCGACUUGAUUGUUGCAAAAGCAGGCAGCUUGAUUGUUGCAGGGAAGAAGUAUCCCCGCCUCUUGGUUUAUCUUUCUUUUCCCUGGUUUGACCUUGAUGAACAAAGAAACGAAAAAAAAUCAAGGUGGGAACACUUCUUCCUCUUCCUGCUCAGAAUGUUUGAAAUUCCAUGCUAUAUUUUAGAGCUCCCAUUGCAGCUCUUGUAGUGUUAUCUUGAACUCCCAAACUGGGCUGCUUACACUUCGUCUUGGCCGAGGCCAACUGUAGAGUAGACUACAGAAUAAUGAAGUGUGAAGUGCCAUAUAGAUGACGUUAUUCAUUUUAUUCAUCUAUGUGUUUUGUAAAGACUGCACUUGGCUCGCAUUCUCAUAUCGGACUCGUGAUACGUGUUUCUUGUUCGGGUCGUUUGUUACGAGACCACGCUGUCCAGCAGGGAGUAAAUAAGGUUCUCUUUGAAGUGAUUGGUAUUUUUGUGCAUAUUAUUGUAGCCAAAUAAUGUUCAUUGGGUCAGUUAAAGAAGACUCAAAUAUCUGUAUCAGGGAUUGUGAAAAAUGGUUUUGCUCAGAUGACAAAGGUGGAAGGCACUUUUGAAGGCUCGUAGUACAACUUAUCUCGACUGAAAUGACGAAUUUCUACAUGAAUCUGAUGUGUACUGCACGGAAGUGGCUUUGUGGUGUUUGCUCAUUUUUGCUAGGAGGUGCUUCGAACGAAUUAUGUGAUGACGGUGUUUGCUAGGUGCUACAGCGCAUUAAUGCGAUGACAUUAUUUACUCAUUUAUGCUGAAUGGUGCUUCAGCCCAUUGAUGUAAUGACGUUAAAUAACAGCACCAAGGUGAUGAUCCUUUAGUUCCAUAUGUCAUGUGUACAUUUACAGAGCCUUUUCUAGAUAGAGGGAUGCCGUUUUCGGUCCAAAUAAGCAUAUCGACUAUUUGUUUAGAGUUAUGGAUACUUCUAACUGCUGGCGCAAGAAUCGUUCAGCUUUUCCCUGUAUACAAGGCAAAGUGUGGUCUGACCCUGUAAGCCAUCCAGCCACCAUUAAUUCCAAAGCACCCCUUGUGGACUUAAUGACUGAGAACACAGUUUCUGCUCGUCACUGCAAUAUGCAGACUACAAAUUGAUUUCACCUCUCAGCAGCUUUAGAUGUUGAUGUGAUGUAAUUUCUAGAGCUUUUAUGCGUUCAUGCAUUGAGCACUUAUCUGCUUUGUUAUCAUCCAAGUCAAAUGUCAUUUUCUUUUUAUGCAUAUUGUGUAAUAUUUAACAUUGUGUAGCUAUACAUCACUUGAAGUUCCUUGAAAUAAAGAAGCCAUGAAAGCAUUUAAACUGCUCUGAUCACGUGAAAAUUAUUUGCUUCAGCUAGUCUUAAAGCAUAUCGGAUACCGUGAAGGCACGGUAUGGCAUAUCCGAUCAAAGCCUGAUCAUAUCCCAGACUUGUCCCACGGGAUGUCCCCAGGAAAGGUCAUAGGACGUCUUUUUGCAGACAACGGGAUGUCCCAUGGAUGUCCGCCGGAUAUGUUUGGACAUCCCAUGGAUAUCCUGUAUUCCCAAACAGAUAUCCAUAGGACGUCCUAUGGACGUCAUUGUGUAUAUAUGAAUUCUUGUAUCAACUGAAUGAAAAACAUGUUGAGUUAAGUUAUGAAAAAUAUAAAACAAAUUCCUUUAUCAUGCAUUGGAACUUGAGUGCUGACGAAAGUUUUGGUUCCUACCUUAAUCCAUUGCGCAAGGGCAAUUGCAGGAUAGAAAUGAAGUUUGCUAAGCCAUUACCUUGCGCAGUGUCGUUAUACUUAUUAGUGAAGCACCCAAGAUUUUAUCAGUCGAUGGUGAUCUUGUUGUUCGAGUGGACUAAGUAUGAAUGUGUUUGAUCUGGAAUUAUUGUUUUCUCUGAACCAUGAAACUUUGAAUAUGUAUCGCGGGACCUUUGCAAUUGAUAUGGUACCAAGUUUAACGACAGAAGGGUUUAUAGUUAUCAAUACACACCCACACGACGGUCCCGGAGAACACUGGCUAUUGUACAUGAGAGACAUGACAAGUACGUCUAUGUGGACAGCUUUGAUCUACCACGGAUGAAGAAGAGCUGCUAAAUCUGCCUGUUGAUCAGUAUUAUGAGAAAUGCAUUCAAAGCAUUUACAGCUCACACUGUGGACUUUUUGUUUGUUUCUUUGCUUCCCGCCUUUGUAAGAAUUACCAACUCAAGAGCAUUGUGUCCUUGUUUGACAAUAACCUUGUACACAAUGACCUUGUACACAAUGACCUCAAGAUAAUAAAAAUGAUUGAAGAGGAAUACCUCAUUUAAAAAAAAAUGUCUCAUUUUAUUUCUUCAAUGUACAGACCUCUUUAAGAUAGUCCUCCAGACUCGACACCUUGCGACAACCAUCUUUCUUGCGACGCACGAUGUAUUCCGAGUGUUGGAUGUAAAAGUUUCGAAUUACUGGUCGCUUGAGUUCGGCAUUAAGUAUGGCUGGAGAGAUAUUGUCACCCUGACGAUACCGUCGCAACAAGUCACACUUGAUGGCGACGAAGCGUUGGAGCCUCCGACUAAUCUUUCCUCGUUUCGUCCACAUCGGAAACGGGAGAAUUUGCAUAAUGAGACGAAAAUCAGCCUCUGGCCCAUUGCAGUUCCAGAUAGGAGUUUAAUUUCAUCAAAUCCUUGUACAUCAGCCAUUGUACCGUCAAAGCAAAUCGUUCACUGGGCUUCAUGGUUGAUCCGAGCUUGGAUGGCAACCGAGAUAAGGUCGGAUGUUAUUGUCUAGCCAUUGAGAUGGAUUCGAUGACCACAAUCCUAUGGUCAUCAUAUUGUAUAAAGAAAGUUCUGGGUGGGGGCUUCAAUGUCUUCACAAGAGGACGAUCCCCCGUCAGAAGGCAAUCAAAAUCUGAACAAAGAAUCACAUUUUUUAGAGAGGGGAAAAACGGGAAAACUUUCUAUACAUACAAUCGUCCUCCGAGACCGCGGAGCACUUCUGCGCACAUCGUCGACGGUGAGGGGGAUGUUGAAAAGGAAUCUGAUGGAAAGGAUGUGCAUACUUUCCCUAUUGGUUGCAUUUUUCCUUAGUUUGCAAUUGGUUGUUUACUACAGAGACUUUUGCUACAUGCGGAUUUCUCCAGCCCACCCCCUUGUUGCUAAAAGUCAUUUAUACAAAGUAGGAGACGAUGUGAUAUGAUAAUGAGGAUGCGUCAGCUUUAAAAAACGAAGAUUUGGUUCCUAGAGCAUCACUUCGAAGGAACAUGGCCAACGAUGGUGGUAAGUUUUGAUGGUUUUUACCUUAAAGUUAGGUUUCUUACGAAAGUUGUCUUGCUCAGUUUUCUCUUGUUUUGAAGAUGAUGAUGAUAAUGGUGAGUUUUGGUGUUUUUUCUCCUCAAGUUCAUUUUCUUAAGAUGUUAUCUUUCUCAGUAUUCACAUCGAGCCCGGUCUUCUACUUCGAAGACGCGCCUGAGUCACCACCACCAAGCUAUGAAUCAGUUUGUGUGGUAGCGAAUGAAAAUAAUCACCGGGUACCACCACUGGAAAACGGUCACCGGGUACCACCACCGGACAAUUACUAUGUCCACCCAAUGCAGUAUCAUCGCUGCUACUGCUGCAGUGAGUCAUCUGGUUGGGUAAGCAAUGUGACGAAUGCUGAAUUUAUGUUAUGUUUCAGAUCCGAACGCCCUUAGGGGUGUAAUUCAUGAAGGUUGAAUUGAAUCAUUAUUACAUUUAUUAAAUAUGUAAUAAAAAAUAUUUUUCUGUUGUAGAAAGUGUGUACUGUCUUGUAUGUUUCUUCUGUUUCAGGUGUGAAGGUUUUUCCGCUGGGGUUUUCUCCUUCACGCAGAUUGGCAACACAAUUGGUAAUCCCCAGUACUAUUGGCUUUAAUUGUCAUUACUAAGUACCAUUGGU